GUAAGGAUGGCCGAGUGGUCUAAGGCUCCAGACUCAAGUUCUGGUCUCCGAAUGGAGGUGUGGGUUCGAAUCCCACUUCUGACA
rnacentral:tRNA from 1 species